rnacentral:rRNA from 1 species
AGUGAACGCUGGCGGUAGGCCUAACACAUGCAAGUCGAACGGCAGCACAGUAAGAGCUCGCUCUUACGGGUGGCGAGUGGCGGACGGGUGAGGAAUACAUCGGAAUCUACUUUUUCGUGGGGGAUAACGUAGGGAAACUUACGCUAAUACCGCAUACGACCUACGGGUGAAAGCAGGAGAUCUUCGCACCUUGCGCGAUUGUAUUAGCCGAUGUCGGAUUAGCUAGUUGGCGGGGUAAAGGCCCACCAAGGCGACGAUCCGUAGCUGGUCUGAGAGGAUGAUCAGCCACACUGGAACUGAGACACGGUCCAGACUCCUACGGGAGGCAGCAGUGGGGAAUAUUGGACAAUGGGCGCAAGCCUGAUCCAGCCAUACCGCGUGGGUGAAGAAGGCCUUCGGGUUGUAAAGCCCUUUUGUUGGGAAAGAAAAGCAGCAGGUGAAUACCCCGCUGUUCUGACGGUACCCAAAGAAUAAGCACCGGCUAACUUCGUG